AUCACUUCUCUGCCUUUGGGCUGAGAUCAAGUGUAGUAUCUGCUCUUAUCAGUUUAAUAUCUGAUACGUCCCCUAUCUGGGGACCAUAUAUUGAAUGGAUUUUUGAGAACGGGGGCCGAUUUCGAAGCUUGCUUCCGUCGCCCUAUGCAUUGACCUGAUGUGACAGUACCUUCGGAUACAGUACGCACAAA